rnacentral:lncRNA from 1 species
AUCGAAGAAACCGAUGUAGCAGGAUCCGCUCACCAUCACCAUAUCGCCAACUCAAGCAAAGCGCCAAAUCCAUAUAAACUUCUCCUUCGUCACGCUAAGUAAUAGUGAGUUAAUCUCACGGGAGAGUGACUGGAUCUUUGCAAGAUCCUUUCAUUGACGGUUCACGCGGCGAGACGCGCCGACACGCCAAGUUCGUCGUUCGGACACGUGAAACGGGUAGCUCCCAAUUUCUACAAAUCAAGCAAAAAUUAAACGAAAAAGACAAAUAAAUAAGAACCGCCCGAUUUCGAUGGACC